GAACAUAAACCGUAUGUGUCAUGUUUAUGGCAUAUACUACGAUACAAGAAAAGAUAAGAGCACGACACAUUAGUUGUUCUUAGUUUGGGUGUCAAAUAAGAUAAAAUACAAUUGGUCUUAAUUGUAAUGCAUCAAACGUGUAUAGUUUUUUUUUUUUUUUUUUGGUUCAACCAUCAAAUGUGUAUACAAUAUACGUUGUUUUUGAAACUUUCUUGUUAAAACAAUCAAACGCUUCUGAGAUAAAUACUAUUUUCUUUGACCAUUCAUCUACUUUUACGCAAUUAAAAUAUAAAUACUUUUCGAAACAGAUCCUUCCAUUGUUGUGUGACAUGUCGAGUCGUUUGUUUGCAUUGCAACGAAGGGGAAAACGU
rnacentral:lncRNA from 1 species